rnacentral:rRNA from 1 species
CCUACGGGCGGCUGCAGUGGGGAAUAUUGCGCAGUGGGGGGAACCCUGACGCAGCAACGCCGCGUGAAGGAUGAAGGUUUUCGGAUUGUAAACUUCUUUGAUGAGGGACGAAAUAAAUGACGGUACCUCAAAAACAAGCCACGGCUAACUACGUGCCAGCAGCCGCGGUAAUACGUAGGUGGCGAGCGUUGUCCGGAAUUACUGGGUGUAAAGGGCGUGUAGGCGGGGAGACAAGUCAGAUGUGAAAUACCGAGGCUUAACUUCGGGGGUGCAUCUGAAACUGUUUUUCUUGAGUGUCGGAGAGGAAAGUGGAAUUCCUAGUGUAGCGGUGAAAUGCGUAGAUAUUAGGAGGAACACCAGUGGCGAAGGCGACUUUCUGGACGAUAACUGACGCUGAGGCGCGAAAGCGUGGGGAGCAAAUAGGAUUAGAUACCCGGGUAGUCAC